AUUGAACGCUGGCGGCGGGCCUAACACAUGCAAGUCGAACGAGUGGCGGAGGGGUGAGUAAUGUCUGGAAAACUGCCUGAUGUAGGGGGAUAACUACUAGAAACGGUAGCAAAUACCGCUUACCGUCAUAUGUGCCCUGAUGGGUUUGGCUAGUCGGUGGGGUAACGGCUCACCAAGGCGACGCGCCCUAGCUGGUCUGAGAGGAUGACCAGCCACACUGGAACUGAGACACGGGCCAGACUCCUACGGGAGGCAGCAGUGGGGAAUAUUGGACAAUGGGCGAAAGCCUGAUGCAGCAAUGCCGCGUGUAUGAAGAAGGUUUUCGGGUUGUAAAGCACGGUCAGCGGGGAGGCGGUAUCUGCAGAAGAAGCAACGGCUAACUCCGUGCCAGCAGCCGCGGUAAUAC
rnacentral:rRNA from 1 species